CUCCAACCAGAGAUCUUCCUUUGCAGAGUUUUCCCUGGAGUCUUGAUCUUCAGAGCUGGAUCUGCUGGCUGCUUCCCUGCAGCAAUGGCCUCAUCACUGCAGGGAACAGCAUGGAGCAUCCCAGGGUGGGACCAGGGACAUUUCCUACACCAUUGGUGACCCAGUGCCUCUCACCUUGGAGCGAUGGACCUCGCCAUCAUCAUCCUCGCCACCGACCCCCAGGAUCUUGCGUGUCUUCAACCUGCUCACCAGGCCAGCAGAUGGCUCCUCAUCGCCCUGGUGCUGAGGUAGGGAGCUGUGGGCUGCCCAUCCCAGCUGUGGGGAAGUUGUCCAGGUCUGCAAGGAGGACGGCACAGCUGUCAC